rnacentral:tRNA from 1 species
GCCUGAGUUGCUUAGCAGUUAAAGCAUCUGCCUUUGGCUCAGGGCAUGAUCCCAGGGUCCUGGGAUCGAGUCCCAGCAUCAGGCU